rnacentral:rRNA from 1 species
GACGAACGCUGGCGGCGUGCUUAACACAUGCAAGUCGAACGGAAAGGCCCAGCUUGCUGGGUGCUCGAGUGGCGAACGGGUGAGUAACACGUGGGUGAUCUGCCUCUAACUUCGGGAUAAGCUUGGGAAACUGGGUCUAAUACCGGAUAGGACAAUCGUUUAGUGUCGGUUGUGGAAAGUUUUUUCGGUUAGGGAUGAGCCCGCGGCCUAUCAGCUUGUUGGUGGGGUAACGGCCUACCAAGGCGUCGACGGGUAGCCGGCCUGAGAGGGUGGACGGCCACAUUGGGACUGAGAUACGGCCCAGACUCCUACGGGAGGCAGCAGUGGGGAAUAUUGCACAAUGGGCGCAAGCCUGAUGCAGCGACGCCGCGUGGGGGAUGACGGCCUUCGGGUUGUAAACCUCUUUCGACAGGGACGAAGCUUUGGUGACGGUACCUGUAUAAGAAGCACCGGCUAACUACGUG